rnacentral:lncRNA from 10 species
GGGGGAACUGUGAGGAAUCUGAGAAGGUUGGAAGUCAGCCCUGACCAGAGGGGAUGGGAUGUGAGAGACGGAUGUCAGGUGGCAUGAGGCAAGGGAAGAAUUUCAGAGGCAGGAAGAAAGUACACAUAAUAGCUCCCUGAGCAGAAACAGAAAUGGGAAGGGAAUAUGAUCUGAGAGAGAGUUUCAUCUGCCUUUACAAUGCCGGAGGCAGAGAUUGGCACACAAGGACAGGGUCUUGUCUUCUGGUAGCUUGUCUAAUACAGGACACAGGCAAGCUCACAAGAAACUGCCUCGUAGGGCUGAGUGAAAUUUGCUGAUAGAGCUGCAGAAUCACAUUCCUCAAAGACAGGAAGGAGCUUAACUUUCCAUAGGCAAGCCGUGGCUCAGCUGGCUCUUCCGCUCCAAGUCUCACAAGGCUGCAAUCAAGGUGUCAGCCUGGGCUACAGUGUGAUCUGAGACUCAGGUCUUCUUCCAAGCACAGGUGGUUGUCUGCAGAAUUCAUUUCUCUGCCGCUAUAGAACUCAUGGUGGCUCGUUUCCAGGCCAACAGGAGAGCUUCUCUUCUGCUUCAAGAGCUUAAAAUUCUUCUUAUCAUGCCCAUUUUUGUAUUGGGUGGUUUGUCUUCUUACUGAGUUGGAUGAGUACUUUAUAAAUUCUAGGUACAAGCCCUAUGCAGAUGUACAUAUUGCAAAUAUUUUCUCCCAGGCCAUAACUUGCCAUUUCAUUUUCUUAAUGGAGUGUUGGGAGAAGAGAAAUGUUUGAUUUAAAUGAAGUCUAACUUCUCAACUUUUUUUUUGUAUGGUUCAUGCUUCUUAUUCUUAUACAAGAAACAUUUGCCUAUCCAAAGGCUACAAUAUUUUCUCCUAUAUUUUCUUCUAGAAGUUUGAUAACCUUAGCCUUAUAUUUAGUUCUAUGACCCAUUUUAAGUCAACUUUUCUGUAUGACGUGAGAUAAGAGUUGAGAUUCAAUUUUCCCCCCAAAUUGAUAUCCCAUUUUUACCACACUAUCGGUUGAAAACACCAUUUCCCCUGUUGGCACCUUAACUGAAAAAAAUAAAUUGACCAUACAUAAGUGGAUCUAAUUCUAGAUGCUUUAUUGUUGUAUUAGUUUACAUUUCUCUACUUAUAUCUACAAUAAUUAUGUGAUUGCUCCAUGUUUAUAUUAAGUCUUUCAAUAAAUUAUAUCCUUCA